UACGGAAGGGGGCUAGCGUUGCUCGGAAUCACUGGGCGUAAAGGGUGCGUAGGCGGGUCUUUAAGUCAGGGGUGAAAUCCUGGAGCUCAACUCCAGAACUGCCUUUGAUACUGAGGAUCUUGAGUUCGGGAGAGGUGAGUGGAACUGCGAGUGUAGAGGUGAAAUUCGUAGAUAUUCGCAAGAACACCAGUGGCGAAGGCGGCUCACUGGCCCGAGUACUGACGCUGAGGCACGAAAGCGUGGGGAGCAAAGCAGG
rnacentral:rRNA from 1 species